AAGGGUCUCGCGUCGCUUUAUUCGGUCUCAUUUUUCCUUCCAGGCUCUGGGUCAAGGCGCACAUUCCCCACACAACAAUCGAAGACAGCCCUCUGGUUGGAAUGUGCUUCAGCUCAAAGAUGCGUGGUGUUUGGAGAAUGCACGGAGAUCAUUCCUGCAAUUACAGCGAUCCUCCAUGUAGAGAUCGAACCCAGGGGCACUUAACCAGUCCCAUUUUUGUCUAUGCAUCUCAUGACCUAUCCUGAGGAAUUUGAUUAUCCCCAAGAGUGAAUGCAGGUUUUCCUGAUAACAACAUUUUCCCAUUUUAUGGAGCAACUCAUUUCCAUAUACUGCUGAAAAUACUCCAGCGUUAGCAGUUUCAGGUGCUGUUACCAAUAUCUACUUGUUCAAAGGUCUAGCAUCUUGUCUGMAUCCCAGGAGUUAUUUGAGAGAAAGCAAGUCAUGUCUGCCUAACUUAAACCUGAAGUUAAAGGUCUUGGAGGACAUCAGAUUCCAGAUCUUUCCUUGGGCAUCCUAGCUGUUCAAGUUAACACACAAUCAUUUUGAUCUUCUUAAUAAAGCUUUUUUUCUUAA